UACGUAGGGGGCUAGCGUUGUCCGGAUUUAUUGGGCGUAAAGAGCGUGUAGGCGGCUUUACAGGUCCGUUGUGAAAACUCGAGCUCAACCUCGAGACGCCGGUGGAAACCAUCUAGCUAGAGUCCGGAAGAGGAGAGUGGAAUUCCUGGUGUAGCGGUGAAAUGCGCAGAUAUCAGGAAGAACACCCGUGGCGAAGGCGGCUCUCUGGGACGUGACUGACGCUGAGACGCGAAAGCCGUGGGAGCGAAGCAGG
rnacentral:rRNA from 1 species